CACAGACUAAGCACAUUUCUUCUCUUUUCCGGUCCAUAAAAUCCCCAGAAUGGGCCCCACAAGAGCCCCACCUGGAAGACUCUAGGUUCUCAUCUUCAUGCCCCGAUGUAAGGAGAGUGGUCCUUCUGUACAUCAGGAGUCUGAAAUGCAUCUCACUGGGCUAAAAUCAAGAUCUGUGGCACAUGGAACCACAUGUGGGACAAGAGGUUCUGGGGAUUCAAGCAUUGACAUCUUUGGGAGACAAUUAUUCUGCCUACCAUGUGCAUUUAAAUUGGCUUUCUCUCUCUGAGACUGGAGAAGAACCUUUUUCACCCUUGUAUGUGCCUAUUUCAAAAUGGCAAGAAAAUCUGUACUCCAAUGGGAGAGGAUUUUUAUGAAUGUAUUCGUAAGUAUGCUUGUGUCCAG
rnacentral:lncRNA from 1 species